rnacentral:rRNA from 1 species
ACGGAGGAUGCAAGCGUUAUCCGGAUUUAUUGGGUUUAAAGGGUGCGCAGGCGGAAUGAUAAGUCAGUGGUGAAAUCCUACGGCUCAACUGUAGAACUGCCAUUGAUACUGUCGUUCUUGAGUACACUUGGAGUGGGCGGAAUGUGUCAUGUAGCGGUGAAAUUCUUAGAUAUUGCACAGAACACCGAUCGCGAAGGCGGCUCACUAAAUUGUAUCUGACGCUCAGGUGCGAAAGCUUGGGGAUCAAACAG